CAGAAGACACAUUCCAGCCAAUCAGCAGCAGACCCUCCCAGACCCUCCCACCUCCUGGACAGCAUCCAUUUUACAUUCAUUGUGAAGCUGUAUUCUUAGUGAGCUGUCCAGGAGGUGGGAGGGUCUGGGAGGGAGGGUCUGCUGCUGAUUGGCUGGAAUGUGUCUGAA